ensembl:misc_RNA predicted gene, 22141
GAAAGUGACAAUGAUAUCAAGGUGACAUCUUGUUCACUGGGACUGAUUUAGUGAAUUUUGUUAUCUAGGCAGAUGUCCCUUCUCUCACCACUCUGUGUGUGACUGUGGCCCUCCUGUAGCAUGUUCUGUCGAAGACACUGUCCUUCCAGGACAGAGGAGAACCAUUUCUCAGUUCAAACAUAGGAGUAGCUGACCUCCCCUGCUAGAACCUCCAAACAUGCUCUCAACAAGUACUGUGAUGCCAGGCAAGUCAGGGAUACAUAAUGAGAUCUUGUCU